AAGUCGAGCGGACAGAAGGGAGCUUGCUCCCGGAUGUUAGCGGCGGACGGGUGAGUAACACGUGGGUAACCUGCCUGUAAGACUGGGAUAACUCCGGGAAACCGGAGCUAAUACCGGAUAGUUCCUUGAACCGCAUGGUUCAAGGAUGAAAGACGGUUUCGGCUGUCACUUACAGAUGGACCCGCGGCGCAUUAGCUAGUUGGUGGGGUAAUGGCUCACCAAGGCGACGAUGCGUAGCCGACCUGAGAGGGUGAUCGGCCACACUGGGACUGAGACACGGCCCAGACUCCUACGGGAGGCAGCAGUAGGGAAUCUUCCGCAAUGGACGAAAGUCUGACGGAGCAACGCCGCGUGAGUGAUGAAGGUUUUCGGAUCGUAAAGCUCUGUUGUUAGGGAAGAACAAGUGCGAGAGUAACUGCUCGCACCUUGACGGUACCUAACCAGAAAGCCACGGCUAACUACGUGCCAGCAGCCGCGGUAAUACGUAGGUGGCAAGCGUUGUCCGGAAUUAUUGGGCGUAAAGGGCUCGCAGGCGGUUUCUUAAGUCUGAUGUGAAAGCCCCCGGCUCAACCGGGGAGGGUCAUUGGAAACUGGGAAACUUGAGUGCAGAAGAGGAGAGUGGAAUUCCACGUGUAGCGGUGAAAUGCGUAGAGAUGUGGAGGAACACCAGUGGCGAAGGCGACUCUCUGGUCUGUAACUGACGCUGAGGAG
rnacentral:rRNA from 1 species